rnacentral:rRNA from 1 species
AUUGAACGCUGGCGGCAGGCCUAACACAUGCAAGUCGAACGAGUGGCGGACGGGUGAGUAAUGUCUGGGACACUGCCUGCUGGAGGGGGAUAAGUACUGGAAACGAUAGCUAAUACCGCAUACCAUCAGAUGUGCCCAUAUGGGAAUAGCUAGUUGGUGGGGUAACGGCUUACAACGUCGAAGAUCCCGAGCUGGUCUGAGAGGAUGCCCAGUGACACUGGAACUGAGACACGGUCCAGACUCCUACGGGAGGCAGCAGUGGUGAAUAUUGCACAAUGGGCGCAAGCCUGAUGCAGCCAUGCCGCGUGUAUGAAGAAGGCCUUCGGGUUGUAAAGUACUGUCAGCGGGGAGGCGUUACCCGCAGAAGAAGCACCGGCUAACUCCGUGCCAGCAGCCGCGGUAAUUC